rnacentral:misc_RNA from 1 species
AUUACUCUGUUUUUCUGAUGCAUUCUUUCAUAUGACAAAAUUAAACCAGAAUACAAAACUCCACAAGUUAAUUUAAGAAUUCCCCUCCAAGAACAUGAUCCCAAUAACUAAGUAAUUUUAACCCAUCAAAUCAUCAACAGAAUUAAUUUGCCUAUCAAGAUUCGCUCCAAAACUUUGCAUAUUUAUGUACAGAUCUUCAAAAACGAGACCCUUUAUCUAUCUCUAAUUUCAAGAAGAUGUGGGCUGAUGAUGAGAAAAUGGAUAGAACCGGCCGGGUCUUGCCAGGGACAACCCUGUGGCUGUGACUGUGGGUUCAGUACUGCUAUUAUUAUUAUUAUUAUUGGUGGCGGUGGUGGUGGUGGUG